ACUGGGAGACUUUCUGAAAAGAAAAUGGAUCAGGCUGAAGAACACAGUGGGAAAUGGUGAAAUGAACAUGAAUUACUGGACUGGAGAAAGCAGAGACACAGAAGGUGCUGGGUGAUGAGAACUGCUGGGAAUAUCCAUGGUAUUGAUCUGCAUUUAUGUCACAAGUCAAGAUUGGCCCUUCAUGGGAAAGUGGCAAGAAGUCUCCAACAUCAGUUGCUGCUCUUAGAACAGGCUGGACUCUUUGCCUUUUAUCAGAAUUUUAUCUGAGCCUUAGAAUUGAAGAAGUCUCAACUCUUUGACUCUGCUUGUUUGUAAAUCAAAAUGGUCAUGCAGGAAAAAUAAGACUCUGGUCUACAACCUGUGCAGAAAACAUGGAAUUGUUUUCUCAUAGAGGUCUGAUGCUCCAUGAAAACCCAACACAGAUGGAAGCCUGGUCAAGCAAGUCUGAGUAUAACACAGAAAGCCUAAAAGAGCAGCUCUCCCCAGUGAGAAGCCUGGUUUUGGAGGAAAUGAGAGUACCAACACCAACUGGAACAUGAAUGACUGGAAAGAAGGCAGUCUUAAGUAGUGGAAGUCUUGGCCAUUGCUUCAGACUGUCACUGAUUUGAAGUUCAGGUCUUCAGUUAACCUGUACACAAAGAAUAUCUCUCCUUGAUGUGUGCUGCAUCUUCACUGUAAUUCAGGUACUCUCAGAAGCCCACCUGUUCUGAUUCUGGCUGUGAAAGAGUCAGUUUUCUUCUUACUAGCUGGUACAGUGCUGUGUGUUGUUUAGCAUGAGAAUAAUGUUGAUAACACAGAUGUUUCAGUUGUUUCUAAUUACUGGCUUACUUAUUCUAAGCCAAGGGCUUUUUUGUUUCCCAAGUCCUGCCAGUUUGGAGCUGCACAAGAAGUCAGGAGGGAGCAUGGCCAGGACAGCUGGUCCAAACUAGCCAAAGGGAUAUUCCAUGCCAUAGGACAUCAUGCACAGUAUGUAACUGGAGGGAGCUGCCAAGGAGAUCACUACUUAGUGGACUGGCUGGCCAUCGGUCAGCAGGUGGUGAGCAAUUGUAUUGUGAAUAAUUUGUUUGUUUUCUUCUUUAGCUUUAUUUCUCUGUCUUUUUGGUUACUUCCUUUCUAAUUACAAUUAUUUAUUAGUAUUAUAUUUUACUUUAUUUCAAUUAUUAAACUGUUCCUAUCUCAACCCGUAGGUUUUACCAUUUCCCGAUUAUCCUCCGCAUUCCAUUAGGGAAGCAGGGAGUGAGCAAGAGGAUGCAUGGCACUUGAUGGUGGGUGGGAUAAAGCACAACCCACACACCAUUCUCCCAAUCCCUUGGAUGCACACACACACCAACUCUAUAUUCAUGCAGCACCUGGAGAUUCACCAUUUCCUCAUACAUCUUGGGGGGUUUGGGUAAGAAUGUCUAUCUGUAUAUGAAGACAGAGAGUGACCCUUUGUGAACUGCAUUCUCCAGCAGACCCUACAGUCUGAACAAUCUGGGGAAGAGGACUUCAGGUUGUACCACAGGGUGGGCACUGUGUCUUCAGGAAAGCAGAGCAGAGAGAAGCAGAUACUUAGAACCCCAACAGUACUGUCUGCCUUAGCUGAUUUCAAUGGCUAAGUAUCUGCAGUGGUCAC